rnacentral:rRNA from 1 species
UACGGGGGGGGGCAAGCGUUGUUCGGAAUUACUGGGCGUAAAGGGCUCGUAGGCGGCCAACUAAGUCAAACGUGAAAUCCCUCGGCUUAACCGGGGAACUGCGUCUGAUACUGGAUGGCUUGAGUUUGGGGAGAGGGAUGCGGAAGUUCCAGGUGUAGCGGUAGAAAUGCGUAGAUAUCUGGAGGAACACCGGUGGCGAAGGCGGCAUCCUGGACCAACACUGACGCUGAGGAGCGAAAGCCAGGGGAGCAAACGGG